rnacentral:misc_RNA from 1 species
GAUGAAGAACGCAGCGAAAUGCGAUACGUAAUGUGAAUUGCAGAAUUCAGUGAAUCAUCGAAUCUUUGAACGCACCUUGCACCCUUUGGACUGCUCCAAAGGGUAUGCUCGUUUGAGUGUCAUUGUACUCUCACACUCUCUGAUCCUUUGGAUUUGGGGAGCAGUGGACUUGGGUGCUUGCUGCUUCCUUGUGGCUCACCUGAAAUGCAUCAGUGCAUCUCUCGAUUGGACAUAGUACGGCGUGAUAAGUGUCUUCGCCGGCACCUCAUAUGAGGGUGGCCGAUCGGGAGCUCUGUGCUUUCAAACCGUCUUCGGACAACGCUGACAACUUGACCUCAAAUCGAGUAGGACUACCCGCUGAACUUAAGCAUAUCAAUAAGCGGAGGA